GCUCCCAUAGCCCAAUUGGCAGAGGCAGAGGACUUAAAAUCCUUGUGUUCUGGGUUCGAGUCCCAGUGGGAGCACCA
rnacentral:tRNA from 2 species